rnacentral:RNase_P_RNA from 1 species
AGCGGGUUGGGCAGUCGCGGCGCGAAGCGCUGAGGAAAGUCCGAGCUCCACACGGCAGGAUAACGGCUAACGGCCGCCGAGGGUGACCUCAGGGAAAGUGCAACAGAAAUAAACCGCCGAUUUUCGGUAAGGAUGGAAAGGCGAGGUAAGAGCUCACCGGUGCGCCGGAGACGGCGCAGCCAUGUAAACCCUAUCCGGAGCAACAUCGACAGGAUCGACGCGUCAGCCGGGCGCAUAUCCGAAGGAUGGCAUGAGUCCGAGGGCGACCUCGGGCCAAGACAGAUGAUUGCCUUAAAUGACAAAACUCGGCUUACAGAUCCGCUUG